rnacentral:lncRNA from 10 species
GCCAGGUUGCAGAGGCACACUCUCAAAUCCGCCUUCAGUGAAACCACAGAAAUAUCCAAAUACUACACAUGGGGGCUUUUUUUCCCCUUCCCUGAGAAUCAGCUGGUAAUUUACUGGCAUGUCACUGCAUAUAAACAAAAUCCAAGAGGAAUCAGUUAACCUGCUGGACUGAACAAGGAGUUUGGCAUAAAACUGGCCAGAUAAACAGAUAAGGCUGAUUGUGUUAUGUCUCCCUUCCUUAAUGGAAGCCUGAUAGGAAUGAGGCCCACGGUGACUCAGCAGUUAGUUCCCUUUACUGCGUAGCCUUGGAAGUAAUGGAGUGGGCUUUCAUGAUUUUGCUUCUUUCUUCUUUUCCACUGAAAUGGAGGCCUUCAGUUGCAAAGUUCUCCAUUGUCAGAUUACGCUGCCUGAUGGGCAUGAAAAGUCCACAAAAGAGAAUUUUCUGAUGUGAGAAUGGAGGGUGUUGCCUGCAACUACCCCAGAUCCCUGCGGUGGCAGUUUAAGCCGCCUCCUGGAGCAGAUUGUUAAGCUGAUGCGAGUCUGGGCUCUGCCUCACCACUUGUCUCAGAGGAAAGACCUGAUGUCAUAUGGAAGCCAAGAAGAAACUCUUGUCCAAUUUGUAGG